rnacentral:rRNA from 1 species
UGGGAAUAUUUGACCAUGGGGGAAACCCUGGUGCCAAAUAGCCCCCUGAAGGAUGAAGGCCUUCGGGUUGUAACUUUCCUUUCUGUGGGGAAAAAAACUUACGUUACCUAACAUUUGAAGAGGGGGCGGGGGGUUCUUUGCUUUUUUUUUUUUUUUUUUUUUUUUUAU